CAUGCAAGUUGAGCGGUAGCACAGGAGAGCUUGCUCUCUGGGUGACGAGCGGCGGACGGGUGAGUAAUGUCUGGGAAACUGCCUGAUGGAGGGGGAUAACUACUGGAAACGGUAGCUAAUACCGCAUGACCUCGCAAGAGCAAAGUGGGGGACCUUCGGGCCUCACGCCAUCGGAUGUGCCCAGAUGGGAUUAGCUAGUAGGUGGGGUAAUGGCUCACCUAGGCGACGAUCCCUAGCUGGUCUGAGAGGAUGACCAGCCACACUGGAACUGGGACACGGUCCAGACUCCUACGGGAGGCAGCAGUGGGGAAUAUUGCACAAUGGGCGCAAGCCUGAUGCAGCCAUGCCGCGUGUGUGAAGAAGGCCUUAGGGUUGUAAAGCACUUUCAGCGAGGAGGAAGGGUUCAGUGUUAAUAGCACUGAGCAUUGACGUUACUCGCAGAAGAAGCACCGGCUAACUCCGUGCCAGCAGCCGCGGUAAUACGGAGGGUGCAAGCGUUAAUCGGAAUUACUGGGCGUAAAGCGCACGCAGGCGGUUUGUUAAGUCAGAUGUGAAAUCCCCGAGCUUAACUUGGGAACUGCAUUUGAAACUGGCAAGCUAGAGUCUUGUAGAGGGGGGUAGAAUUCCAGGUGUAGCGGUGAAAUGCGUAGAGAUCUGGAGGAAUACCGGUGGCGAAGGCGGCCCCCUGGACAAAGACUGACGCUCAGGUGCGAAAGCGUGGGGAGCAAAC
rnacentral:rRNA from 1 species